CGUUCCCUGCGGUGCUCGAGUCGUCCAUACACUCUUUGAACCAAUGCUAAGUUAGCGCGGUUGCCGAGCCAUUUUCGGACUGGUGUGCGCUCCCAUGCGGAAGCGCCUGAAGGUCCUGGCAGGCGACCACUCUUGAACCUCGGUUCAAGAUGACGGACGGCACGGCACAGGCGGGGAACAC
rnacentral:other from 1 species